AGUUCAUUUGCCAGAUUGUCCAACUUGGUGUGCAAUCUUCAGACAGAAUUUUUCAUCUGAAGCUGUAUCAAACCUUAAUCGAUUUGGGCCUGGAAGAUGAACUACUUGAAUAUGGUGGCCCUGAUUUGGUACCUUUUCUGCAAAAUUCUGGUCGUGAACCUACAAAUGAGGUUCGUGCUGUCUCUGCAGUGGCAUCUCCAACUUCACCAUUGGCUCAUGCUAGAGUACCUGCACUAUCCAACCAAGCCAAAUAUUUUGAGCUUUUGGCUCGUUAUUAUGUUUUGAAGAGACAACACGUUCUUGCAGCCCAUGUUUUGGUGAGGCUGGCAGAAAGGCGCUCCACUGAUGCAGGGGAUGCUCCUAGUUUAGAACAAAGGCGGCAAUACUUGAGUAAUGCUGUUUUGCAAGCAAAGAGUGCCCAUGACACUGAUGGUAUGAGUGGUUCUGCGCGGGGUGCUCUUGACAAUGGGCUGCUUGAUUUGCUCGAAGGAAAGCUUGCUGUUCUUCAGUUUCAAAUUAAAAUUAAAGAUGAACUGGAGGCUAUGUCUUCCAGGUUAGAGUCAUCUACAAGCACAUCUGAAUCUGGUUCUGGUGAAACAUCACCCAAUAUGAGUAAUAUUCUUCGAGAAAAAGCGAAGGAGCUAUCAAUGGAAUUGAAGAGCAUUACACAGUUGUAUAAUGACUAUGCUGUUCCUUUUGAGAUAUGGGAGAUAUGCCUGGAGAUGUUGUACUUCGCUAGCUACUCCGGUGAUGCUGAUAGCAGCAUACUGCGAGAGACGUGGGCUAGGCUCAUUGAUCAAGCUCUUAUGAGGGGUGGGAUUGCUGAAGCUUGUGCUGUACUGAAGAGGGUUGGUACCCAUGUGUAUCCCGGAGAUGGAACUGUUUUACCAUUUGAUACUCUCUGUCUUCACCUUGAAAAGGCUGCACUGGAACAAGUGGUUUCUGGUGCUGAAUCUGUUGGAGAUGAAGAUAUUCCUAGGGCUCUUUUAGCUGCUUGCAAGGGUGCAGUAGAGCCUGUAUUAAAUACUUAUGACCAGCUGUUAUCAAGUGGGGCAGUGUUGCCAACUCCGAAUCUUAGAUUGCGUCUCCUGCGCUCCGUACUGGCUUUACUUCGUGAAUGGGCACUU
rnacentral:misc_RNA from 1 species